CUCUAUCUGGGUGGAGAGUGAUAGCUAUUGAACAGCUGACAGCAAUCCUACACAACAUUUUAGGGCAGAAAGCAAGGAAUGUCAUACACCACUUAAACUGCAGAGGGAUUCAGCUUGGCAUAAGAAAUGCAGCCACAUGCCUGAGGUGGCUCAGGCCAAAAGCCGGAGGGCACUACAGUACACCUUCCUGCUUCGCUGGAGCAGACAGCUUGGGCCAAGCCCAGACUGCCCACCCUGUGCAGAGGAGUUUGCAAGGGAGCUGUAGAGCAUCCUAGGAUGCUGGGGGAUUGUGAGCUAUCUUGUAUCUGGAGAGGAUCUGGGACAGAAGUUCAAUAAACCGAUUUAAUCUAAAUCAGAUCUGAACUGGUUGCUGAUCACUUAUACUGGUUUUAGGGGUGCACCAAAGGAGACAUAUUAGCCAAUACUGAUCCAAUUUCCAAUGCAGCUGCAUGCGACUGGCAUGCAUGUCGGAACCUGAUUCUCAGAAGAUUCUCUUAGAAUCUGUCCUGUGGAAUUGGACUCUCUCUCGAAACACAAUGGUGUCCUGUGGCUAUUCUCUGGUUCCUGUGCAAUGGAUGCUUAUUUGUAUUUUUCCCCUUUUUCUUUUUUUUUUAAAUAUUGCCAGUAUGAACUCUGACAGUUUGUAAAUACCUUAAAAUACAUUUGUCUGUAUGUUCACAAGACUAAGAGAGCCAGAGGGUAAAAGUGGUUUAAAGAAAA